CCCCGGCUUUCAUGGCUUGACGGGCGGUGUGUACAAGGCCCGGGAACGUAUUCACCGCGCCAUGGCUGAUGCGCGAUUACUAGCGAAUCCAGCUUCACGAAGUCGGGUUGCAGACUUCGAUCCGAACUGAGAGAGGCUUUUGGGAUUAGCAUCCUGUCACCAGGUAGCUGCCUUCUGUACCCCCCAUUGUAACACGUGUGUAGCCCCGGACGUAAGGGCCGUGCUGAUUUGACGUCAUCCCCACCUUCCUCACAUCUUACGACGGCAGUCUCUCUAGAGUCCUCAGCAUGACCUGUUAGUAACUAAAGAUAAGGGUUGCGCUCGUUAUGGCACUUAAGCCGACACCUCACGGCACGAGCUGACGACAACCAUGCAGCACCUUCACAUUUGCCUUGCGGCUAACCUGUUUCCAGAUUAUUCAAAUGCAAUUUAAGCCCGGGUAAGGUUCCUCGCGUAUCAUCGAAUUAAACCACAUGUUCCUCCGCUUGUGCGGGCCCCCGUCAAUUCCUUUGAGUUUCACCGUUGCCGGCGUACUCCCCAGGUGGAAUACUUAAUGCUUUCGCUUGGCCGCUUACUGUAUAUCGCAAACAGCGAGUAUUCAUCGUUUACUGUGUGGACUACCAGGGUAUCUAAUCCUGUUUGAUACCCACACUUUCGAGCAUCAGUGUCAGUUGCAGUCCAGUGAGCUGCCUUCGCAAUCGGAGUUCUUCGUGAUAUCUAAGCAUUUCACCGCUACACCACGAAUUCCGCCCACCUCUACUGUACUCAAGACAGCCAGUAUCAACUGCAAUUUUACGGUUGAGCCGCAAACUUUCACAACUGACUUAACUGUCCACCUACGCUCCCUUUAAACCCAAUAAAUCCGGAUAACGCUCGGAUCCUCCGUAUUACCGCGGCUGCUGGCACGGAGUUAGCCGAUCCUUAUUCAUAUGGUACAUACAAAAUUCCACACGUGGAAAACUUUAUUCCCAUAUAAAAGAAGUUUACAACCCAUAGGGCAGUCAUCCUUCACGCUACUUGGCUGGUUCAGGCCUGCGCCCAUUGACCAAUAUUCCUCACUGCUGCCUCCCGUAGGAGUUUGGACCGUGUCUCAGUUCCAAUGUGGGGGACCUUCCUCUCAGAACCCCUAUCCAUCGAAGGUUUGGUGAGCCGUUACCUCACCAACUGCCUAAUGGAACGCAUCCCCAUCGAUAACCGAAAUUC
rnacentral:rRNA from 1 species